UACAGGCACAGUACAGUACUGUAUGUCCCCUACCACUGGACAGUCAUUCUGCUCCUACUGUAUUAUGAAUAUAUCUCUGCCUCCUGUAGCACUGUACUACUGUGCAAUUUUGUAGUAACUGUACUCUACUGUAUUUUGUUUAUAAUAUUUUUUUAUUUUCCACUCAGUGAUUAUUGACAGUGAUGAGGAAGGGGAUGAGGAAGGGGAGAAAAAGCCCUCUCCCCAACUUGUUCCUACACUGGAACAGGCCGCCGAGGAGGAUGAUGCAUAUGAUGAGGCGGCAUUUAGUGACGACGAGCCAGAAUACCAUUUUGUCCGUCGCCAACCAGUGGAGGAGACACCUG